rnacentral:rRNA from 1 species
CCCCGCCUGUUUACCAAAAACAUCACCUCCAGCAUUUCUAGUAUUGGAGGCACUGCCUGCCCGGUGACACUUGUUUAACGGCCGCGGUAUCCUGACCGUGCAAAGGUAGCAUAAUCAUUUGUUCUCUAAAUAGGGACUUGUAUGAAUGGCCACACGAGGGUUUAACUGUCUCUUACUCCCAAUCAGUGAAAUUGACCUUCCCGUGAAGAGGCGGGAAUACCACAAUAAGACGAGAAGACCCUAUGGAGCUUUAAUUAACUAACCCAAACUUAUGGGUACUAAACACCUACAAGGCAUAACAUAACACCAUUAUUAUGGGUUAGCAAUUUAGGUUGGGGUGACCUCGGAAUAUAAAAAAACUCCCGAGUGAUUAAAAUUUAGACCCACAAGUCAAAAUAUAACAUCACUUAUUGAUCCAAUAAUUUUUGAUCAACGGAACAAGUUACCCUAGGGAUAACAGCGCAAUCCUAUUCAAGAGUCCAUAUCGACAAUAGGGUUUACGACCUCGAUGUUGGAUCAGGACAUCCUAAUGGUGCAGCAGCUAUUAAGGGUUCGUUUGUUCAACGAUUAAAGUCCUACGUGAUCUGAGUUCAGACCGGAG